GAGUUUGAUCUUGGCUCAGAUUGAACGCUGGCGGCAUGCCUUACACAUGCAAGUCGAACGGCAGCAUGAUCUAGCUUGCUAGAUUGAUGGCGAGUGGCGAACGGGUGAGUAAUACAUCGGAACGUGCCCUGUAGUGGGGAGUAACUAGUCGAAAGAUUAGCUAAUACCGCAUACGACCUGAGGGUGGAAAGUGGGGGACCGGCAAGGCCUCAUGCUAUAGGAGCGGCCGAUGUCUGAUUAGCUAGUUGGUGGGGUAAAGGCCCGACCAAGGCGACGAUCAGUAGCUGGUCUGAGAGGACGAUCAGCCACACUGGGAC
rnacentral:rRNA from 1 species